rnacentral:rRNA from 1 species
GACGAACGCUGGCGGCGUGCCUAAUACAUGCAAGUCGAACGAACGGAUUGAGGAGCUUGCUCUUCAUGAAGUUAGUGGCGGACGGGUGAGUAACGCGUGGACAACCUGCCUCUCACUACGGGAUAACCCGUUGAAAGGCGGACUAAUACCGUAUGAUAUCGUCUGAUGGCAUCAGAUGACGAUUAAAGGUUUGGCGGUGAUGGAUGGGGAUGCGUCUGAUUAGGUAGUUGGUAAGGUAACGGCUUACCAAGCCUUCGAUCAGUAGGGGUUCUGAGAGGAAGGUCCCCCACAUUGGAACUGGGACACGGUCCAA